rnacentral:rRNA from 1 species
CAAUAGCGUAUAUUUAAGUUGUUGCAGUUAAAAAGCUCGUAGUCGGAUUUUGGCUGAGAACGAACGGUCCGCCGUUAGGUGUACACUGUUUGGUCUCAGCUUCCUGGUGAGGAGGUGUGCUUCACGGCCACUUAGUCACCGUGGUUACUUUGAAAAAAUUAGAGUGUUCAAAGCGGGCUUACGCUUGAAUAUAUUAGCAUGGAAUAACACCAUAGGACUCCUGUCCUAUUUCGUUGGUCUCGGGACGGGAGUAAUGAUUAAGAGGAACAGUUGGGGGCAUUCGUAUUUCAUUGUCAGAGGUGAAAUUCUUGGAUUUAUGAAAGACGAACUUCUGCGAAAGCAUUUGCCAAGGAUGUUUUCAUUGA